AUGCUCACUUCAGUAGUACAUAUGCUAAAACUGGAGUGAUCCAGAGAAGAAUAGCAUGGCCUCUGUGCAA
ensembl:snRNA U6 U6 spliceosomal RNA